GGCAACCCGCUCCGGUGUCCUUCCAUGCUGUGGAGGCUCUGUUGUUUCGCUCUUUCUACUGCUUACUCUUCGGGUCCACACUGCUUUUAUGAGCUGUAACACUCACCCUGAAGGUUUGCAACUUGACUCCUGAAGCCAGCAAGACCACGAGCCCCAGGGAGGAACGAACAACUCCAGACGCGCUGCCUUAAGAGCUGUAACACUCACCGAGAAGGUCUGCAGCUUCACUCCUGAGCCAGCGAGGCCACGAACCCACCAGAAGGAAGAAACUCUGAACACAUCCGAACAUCAGAAGGAACAAACUCCAGACGUGCCACCUUAAGAGCUGUUAACACUCACCGCGAGGGUCCGCGGCUUCAUUUUUGAAGUCAGUGAGACCAAGAACCAACCAAUUCGGGACACAAUACCAACUCUUUCAUGCCAGGAGAAGCCUCCUUAAAAAAUUUCGGUGAUUAACAGCAGCACAUGGGUCAAAAUCUCCUGAAAGUUGAGCAGGGGAGCUGUAGAAGAAUUCCUCCUUUUCUCGCAGAUGAAAUCUUAUGAUAUAGCAGGGGUUACCUGGCCAAGAAGGAACACAGAGGAGAACAAAGAAAAUUCAAGGAACUAAAUUCCUUCUCCACCUCAACCACCAGCAUUGAUACUCCAUCACUUAUGUACUGCAUCAAGCCGUCCUCAGAGGUGAGGAAGGUGCUGUCAAGACUAGAAGCAUGUGUCCCUCUCUCCAUUGCAAGAUGGGACAUAGAGAGGAGAAAAGUGGCAGACAGAAGGCUAAUCUCAACUGGAAACCAGAAGGCUAGAAAUCUUACUGAUGUGAUGUCCAGGGAUACAGAGCAUAUGAAGGAUGCAGAGAGUGGGUCAAAUGGAAGGAAUGUAGCAAAACAUGUAAACUUGAUUCUCUUGAUGACUAUUACGAAGGUAUAUGAAGAGGCAGGUGCCUUGGGAAGCUAGUGAAGCCAAAAUCCCAGAGCUUCUCGCUUGCGUAGACUCCUGUGAGGGCUGGGAAUUUCUGUCAUGGAAUGUUCCAGAUGAGGAGGGGAAGCCCAGCUGCACUCAGGACACACUUCUAUGUAAGCAAUUCUAGUACAUUGUGCAGAAAUAUCUAGAAACAAGGCACCCAAAUCUCCCAGCUUCCAAUAAUUUAUCAGAAUUUUUCUUCUGAUGGUGAGUAUUUACUCUUGUCCCCAAUUUUGUAUUUGUAGUUUUUAAAUUCAUUUUUCUAAAAGGGGCCUGUGUUAUAUACAGUUUUUAUGUGGCAGUUGAUCUUGCCGUCUCACUAAAGUUGGAAAGUCCUUUGGGACUGAGAUUGUGUUUUAUACUUUCUCUGUUUCCCAUGCCUGGGAUACAACUGAGCUCAUGGAGGAAGCCAAGCUAAUGUUCUGGCCUUCAGUUCCCUGCAUGGAUCAAAACUGGUUUGGGAGGUUGUAAAGCUUUUUGGGAAAUUACUUGUCCCUUGUGGUACUUGAGGAUUUAGAGUGCCAUACCAAACAUACUGCUUUAAAACUAAAAGAAGGUUUUUUUCUUUCUUAAUUGUCAGUAUUUGCAUUAUAAUAUUUAUUUUGAAAGAUUAUGUACUUUUAUUUCAAUUAAGGAUUAAAAGUGUGGUUCUUCUGAUUC
ensembl:lncRNA LINC02432 long intergenic non-protein coding RNA 2432